rnacentral:rRNA from 1 species
UACGGAGGGAGCUAGCGUUGUUCGGAAUUACUGGGCGUAAAGCGCGCGUAGGCGGUUUUUUAAGUCAGAGGUGAAAGCCCAGUGCUCAACACUGGAACUGCCUUUGAAACUGGAAAACUUGAAUCUUGGAGAGGUCAGUGGAAUUCCGAGUGUAGAGGUGAAAAUUCGUAGAUAUUCGGAAGAACACCAGUGGCGAAGGCGACUGACUGGACAAGUAUUGACGCUGAGGUGCGAAAGCGUGGGGAGCAAACAGG